rnacentral:rRNA from 1 species
UAGCCUUGACAUUGAUAGAAUACACCAGAGAUGGAGUAGUGCCUUUCGGGGAACUUGAAAACAGGUGCUGCACGGCUGUCGUCAGCUCGUGUCGUGAGAUGUUGGGUUAAGUCCCGCAACGAGCGCAACCCUCGUCCUUAGUUGCCAGCAGGUUAAGCUGGGCACUCUAAGGAGACUGCCUUCGUAAGGAGGAGGAAGGUGAGGACGACGUCAAGUCAUCAUGGCCCUUAUGGCUAGGGCUACACACGUGCUACAAUGGGGUAUACAAAGAGCCGCAAUACCGCGAGGUGGAGCAAAUCUUAAAAAUAUCUCCCAGUUCGGAUAGCAGUCUGCAACUCGACUGCUUGAAGUUGGAAUCGCUAGUAAUCGUAGAUCAGCAAUGCUACGGUGAAUACGUUCCCGGGUCU